GGUCCCGUGGUGUAGCUUUAGCACUCAGGACUCUGAAUCCUGCGCCGUGAGUACGAAUCUCUCCGAGACCU
rnacentral:tRNA from 1 species